rnacentral:misc_RNA from 1 species
AACGCACAUUGCGCCUGAGCCUCCUGGCUUGGGCAUGUCUGCCUCAGCGUCUGUUUAACACCUUGCGCCCCAGCACACUCCGGUGUGAUGGCGGCCGCAGAACUGGCCCCUGGGACCCCUCGGACCUCCCCUGGCUUGCUUCGGCUCGCACUGGGGGGCCGAGGCCCCACCGGCUUAUGAACGGAGGGCCUGCCCCAUCCCGCACUUGCAAUUGCCUGGUGCAGUGCAAGCGGUGCCGGCUUCAACGGUCUGGUGGCCCCGUGCCUCUGCCUUGAACCGCCCACUGCAUUGCCAGCACGGAAAGGUGAGCAGCGUUACGUGCCGGGAGCGGAGGGUUCUGCUCGGACUUGCGGCUAACCCCGUAGCCCCUGCUGACCCGCCGUAUAAGCUUGCCCACGCCUCCCUGCAGGGUUGUGCCUCGGCACUCCCCUUCCGGGUGGCGAGCCCCUUAACCUAUGACCUGAGUUCAGGCAGGGCCACCCGCUGAACUUAA